GAACGUGUGUUCUCAUGCUGACCGUGAAACUGAAGUCAUACACCUGGGCAGCUGCUGGGCCCACAUGUGCUAGGUUCUGCGGGGUCUGGUCAGAUCUGGGAGGCCUAGCUUGGAGGCGGCUUUCCUAGGCCACCCCAGGCAAAGAAGAGCUGCUUCAGGGUCCCCAACCUGCGCCACCCGCUCAGGGCUCCCCCCACCAGGUGAGCUGGACCCUGGGGGUCUCCACAGACACCUCAGCUAGUCCUGACCUGCUGGCCAGACGCCCACCAGCCCUGCCUUCCAGAGGGCCCCGCUACAUCGUCUUCAUACCCCAGGGCCUCCCAGCCGCCCCACCUGCAGGGCUGCUAGAACUUUCUCCCGAGACAAAGCCUGCCAUUGUGCCUCCCUGGAGCCCGUCUCUGCAGUGGGGGGCAGGGUGUGUUGAGCGUCCCGGGUCCAGUGUCUCCGGCGUGUCCUGCAUCUCGGCAGCCAGCUCCUCUGCAGCUCAGGCCCCGUGAGUCACAGCCGCUUCCUCAAAUGCUUUGGCUGACCGCAUCCCCCCGCUCCGCCAGAACCCUGGAUGCCGGAGCCCUCCCAGCGAGAGCCGUGUUUAUUUUACUUUACAUACAUUUUCCAACCCGGAGCGGCUUCAACACAUGCAGCUCUUAGGCCCGGGCCGCACAUCUCAGAAGCCCCGUGUGCGACUUUGACUGCCGCACGAUCCUCUGCCGGGGGAGGUGGGCCCGCUGCGCUUUGGGAGCACCCGCGCCCGACACUGAGGUCUCGGUGCUGUCUUCGGCCUCUUCGCCCCUGAGGGUCCCCUCUGGGAGCAGAGGCGGUCGGAAAACCCUGGGGCUGAAGUGCAGGCUUCGGGAGGACGCGACCUGCCAAGAUCAGCUCCCGGCACGUGAUGGGAGCCUGGCUCACCUUCCCCCAGCACACGAUGGGGCUGCAGCCUCCCCGGUCAGCCUGGCCUGCUGGAAAGGAGCAGCUCUGUCUCCAGAGGCUUCUGGCGAAGCCCAUGGCCUCCCAAUGUUGGCUGAUUUAUAAGGAAAGAGGGGAAAGGCCAAGUGUGGAUGCCAUUAGCAUAACCUAAUCCAGACCCCAUGACAAGUCCAGGAUCCUGCAGGGAGAGGGCAUCCUUGAACGUGAAGGACUGGGUUUGGAAACUUGGCCUCCCGGAAGAAAGGUCUCCGGGCCCACCCACACCCCCCUUGUGGACGCCCCCGCAGUCUAAUACACUCCACAGUAAGACGGACCAGGAACAGCAGCAGCCUCCGGUGUCGGCCCAGUGAUCCGGGAGCUCAGAGUCUUUGCGUCCUCCAGAAUUGUCCUGUGAGUGACUCCCGCAGGAUGGAGACUUUUGUGUCUGGCUUCCUUCACUUCGCAGCAGGCUUCGCGGGACCCGUGUGGUGGCACCAGCGUCCAGCCCUUGGUACUGCUGAGUUGUAGGUUGUGGGACAGGUGGAGGUACCACAGUUGCUCACGGGUUCACCUGUGGAUGGGCAUGUGGGCUGUUGUGAGUGAAGCCACUUCAGACGUUUGCGUGCAGGUUUGGUGGGGACGUGCAGUUUCAUUUCUUUUGAGAGUGGGAUUGCUGGAGCCUAUGUUAAGGGUACGUUCAACUCAUCAGCUCAACUGUCUUCCAAAUGGCAGCCCCGUUUUCCACCCCCGCCAGCAACGCCCGCGACUCCAGGCGCGCUGCAUUUUCAUCAGCACCUGGCAGUGGUGAUUCAUAAUGCUUUAAAUGUUAAUUUCCCUCAUGACUAGUGAUGUUAAACAUCUUAUUAAACAUCUUAGGUAUUAUUUCAUGUGUUAUUUCAAAUCUUUUACCUACUUUUUAGUGGAUUAUAUUUGUCUUCUUAGUAUUGAGUUCUAAGAGUUAAAUAUUGUGGGUACAAGUCCUCUAUCAGAAAUGUGUUUUGUAAAUACUUUCUUCUAGUCUGUGGUUUGUCUCUUCGUUUUCUUAAGUAUGUCUUUAAAGAGCAGAGGCUUUUGAUUUGGAUAAAGUUCAGCUUGUCAGUUUUUUCUUUUAGGGUUAUGUUUUUGUAUCCUAUCUAAGAAUCUUUGACUAUCAAAUUCUCACAAAGCAGUUUUUUGUUUUCUUCUAGAUGUUUUACGGUUUUAAAUUUUACCUUUAGGUCUACAACCAUUGUGAUUUAGAUUUUGUAUUUAAUGUAAGGUAUAAGUUGAGAUUCAUUUCUCUCUGUUUUUGGAGACUUAUGUCCAGCUAUUCCAGAACCAUUUGUUGGAAAGAGUAUCUUUAUCCCAACAAGUUAUGUGGGCACUUUGUUGAAAAAGAUCUAUUGACCAUAUAUACAUGCGUUUAUUUCCAAGACUCUAUUUUGUUCUGUUGACCGAC
rnacentral:lncRNA from 1 species